rnacentral:rRNA from 1 species
AGUGAAUAGAUACCCUGGUAGUCCUAGCCGUAAACGAUACUCGCUAGGUGUCGGCCACGGUGCGACCGUUGUCGGUGCCGUAGGGAAAGCCGUGAAGCGAGCCACCUGGGAAGUACGGCCGCAAGGCUGAAACUUAAAGGAAUUGGCGGGGGAGCACCACAACGGGUGGAGCUUGCGGUUUAAAUUGGAUUCAACGCCGGAAAUCUUACCGGGACCGACAGCAACAUGAAGGCCAGGCUGAUGACUUUGCCGGAUUAGCUGAGAGGUGGUGCAUGGCCGUCGUCAGUUCGUACUGUGAAGCAUCCUGUUAAGUCAGGCAACGAGCGAGACCCACGCCCACAGUUGCCAGCGUACUCUCUGGAGUGACGGGUACACUGUGGGGACCGCCGCUGCUAAAGCGGAGGAAGGAAUGGGCAACGGUAGGUCAGUAUGCCCCGAAUAUCCCGGGCUACACGCGAGCUACAAUGGUUGGUACAAUGGGUAUCUACCCCGAAAGGGAUGGAAAUCUCCUAAAGCCAAUCUUAGUUCGGAUUGAGGGCUGCAACUCG